rnacentral:rRNA from 1 species
GACGAACCGAGCGAACGUUGUUCGGAAUCACUGGGCUUAAAGGGCGCGUAGGCGGGUGCUCAAGUCUGUGGUGAAAUCCUCCAGCUUAACUGGAGAACUGCCAUGGAUACUGGGUGUCUCGAGGAACGUAGGGGUAUGCGGAACGAUUGGUGGAGCGGUGAAAUGCGUUGAUAUCAACCGGAACUCCGGUGGCGAAGGCGGCAUACUGGACGUUAUCUGACGCUGAGGCGCGAAAGCCAGGGGAGCAAACGGG